AUGGUAGACUCUGUGUCUACCAUGGUUGUAACGGGUAACGGAGAAUCAGGGUUCGAUUCCGGAGAGGGAGCCUGAGAAACGGCUACCACAUCCAAGGAAGGCAGCAGGCACGCAAAUUACCCACUCCCGGCACGGGGAGGUAGUGACAAAAAAUAACGAUACGGGACUCAUCCGAGGCCCCGUAAUCGGAAUGAGUACACUCUAAAUCCUUUAACAAGGAUCCAUUGGAGGGCAAGUCUGGUGCCAGCAGCCGCGGUAAUUCCAGCUCCAAUAGCGUAUAUUAAAGUUGUUGCGGUUAAAAAGCUCGUAGUUGGUUCUGUGUGCCACGCUGUCGGUUCACCGCCUGCCGGUGCAACUGGCAUGUCGUGGGAUGUCCUGCCGGAGGCGUUCUGUGCUACUUUAGUAUAGUAUCAAUAAUUUUAUUGGUUCUAUCUUUUGUGCUCAGUCGCCGAUUUAAUCCUGCCGUGGUGCUCUUCACCGAGUGUCGAGGUAGGCCGGCACGUUUACUUUGAACAAAUUAGAGUGCUCAAAGCAGGCUGAAUUCUGCCUGAAUAGUGGUGCAUGGAAUAAUAGAACAGGACCUUGAUUCUAUUUUGUUGGUUUUCGGAAUUCGAGGUAAUGAUCAAUGUGGACAGUCGGGGGCAUUCGUAUUGCGACGUUAGAGGUGAAAUUCUUGGAUCGUCGCAAGACGCACGAGAGCGAAAGCAUUUGCCAAGUAUGUCUUAGUUGAUCAAGAACGAAAGUUAGAGGUUCGAAGGCGAUCAGAUACCGCCCUAGUUCUAACCAUAAACGAUGCCAGCUAGCGAUCCGCCAAUGUUUAUAUCAUGACUCGGCGGGCAGCCCCCGGGAAACCAAAGCUUUUGGGUUCCGGGGGAAGUAUGGUUGCAAAGCUGAAACUUAAAGGAAUUGACGGAAGGGCACCACCAGGAGUGGAGCAUGCGGCUUAAUUUGACUCAACACGGGAAACCUCACCAGGCCCGGACAUUGAAAGGAUUGACAGAUUGAUAGCUCUUUCUUGAUU
rnacentral:rRNA from 1 species